AUCUAUGGCCAUACCACCCUGAACGCACAUGAUCUCAUCUGAUCUUAGAAGCUAAGCAGGGUCGGGCCAGCCAAAAAAUGCCCAGUGAAAACAUAGAUU
rnacentral:rRNA from 1 species